AGAGUUUGAUCCUGKYUCAGAUUGAACGCUGGCGGCAUGCCUUACACAUGCAAGUCGAACGGCAGCACGGGGGCAACCCUGGUGGCGAGUGGCGAACGGGUGAGUAAUGCAUCGGAACGUGCCCAGUAGUGGGSGAUAACCCGGCGAAASCCSGGCUAAUACCGCAUACGMCCUAUGGGUGAAAGCGGGGGACCGUAAGSCCUCGCGCUAUUGGAGCGGCCGAUGUCUGAUUAGCUAGUUGGCGGGGUAAGAGCCCMCCAAGGSGMCGAUCAGUAGYUGKUYUGAGAGGACGACCAGCCMCACUGGGACUGAGACACGGCCCAGACUCCUACGGGAGGCAGCAGUGGGGAAUUUUGGMCAAUGGGCSCAAGCCUGAUCCGGCCAUGCCGCGUGSGGGAAGAAGGCCUUCGGGUUGUAAACCGCUUUUGGCAGGAACGAAACGGCGCGAGCCAAUACCUCGCGCUAAUGACGGUACCUGCAGAAWARGCACCGGCUAACUACGUGCCAGCAGCCGCGGUAAUACSGGKWCG
rnacentral:rRNA from 1 species